CCUACGGGUGGCAGCAGUGAGGAAUAUUGGUCAAUGGACGCAAGCCUGAACCAGCCAUGCCGCGUGCAGGAUGACUGCUCUACGAGUUGUAAACUGCUUUUGUACGAGGGUAAACGCAGACACGUGUACCUGUCUGAAAGUAUCUUACGAAUAAGGAUCGGCUAACUCCGUGCCAGCAGCCGCGGUAAUACGGAGGAUUCGAGCGUUAUCCGGAUUUAUUGGGUUUAAAGGGUGCGUAGGCGGGUGGAUAAGUUAGAGGUGAAAUGCCGAGGCUCAACUUCGGAAUUGCCUCUGAUACUGUUCGGCUAGAGAAUAGUUGCGGUAGGCGGAAUGUAUGGUGUAGCGGUGAAAUGCUUAGAGAUCAUGAAGAACACCGAUUGCGAAGGCAGCUUACCAAGCUACUUCUGACGUUGAGGCACGAAAGCGUGGGGAGCAAACAGGAUUAGAUACCCUUGUAGUC
rnacentral:rRNA from 1 species